AGACAGUCUCUGUCUGUCUGGUACGUCUCUCUGUGACGUACCAGACAGAGAGACGUACCAGACAGACAGAGAGACGU
rnacentral:pre_miRNA from 1 species